GUGAGGAAUUUUCCGCAAUGGGCGAAAGCCUGACAGAGCAAUGCCGCGUGAGGGAUGAAGGCCUAUGGGUUGUAAACUUCUUUUCUCAGAAAAGAAUUAUGACGGUAUCUGAGGAAUAAGCAUCGGCUAACUCUGUGCCAGCAGCCGCGGUAAGACAGAGGAUGCAAGCGUUAUCCGGAAUGAUUGGGCGUAAAGCGUCUGUAGGUUGUUUAAAAAGUAUUCUGUCAAAGAUUAGGGCUUAACCCUAGAUAGGCAGAAUAAACUUUUAAGCUAGAGUUUGGUACAGGCAGAGGGAAUUCCCGGUGGAGCGGUGAAAUGCGUAGAUAUCGGGAGGAACACCAAAGGCGAAGGCACUCUGCUGGGCCAAUACUAACACUGAGAGACGAAAGCGAGGGGAGCAAAUGGGAUUAGAAACCCGUGUAGUCC
rnacentral:rRNA from 1 species